UAAAAUCAGGAUACAAGGAGCUUCUU
rnacentral:piRNA from 1 species